CAGACCUCCAUUUUUUUUCUUUUCGUUGCUCUCACCAUGAACCCACAAAUUACACAUAAAAUCCUCCAUGGAUGAACAUUUCAACACAGCUUGAUGUGCCAUUAACACCAAAAAAAGAAAAAAAAUUAAAGAAGGCAACACACACUCACAUACGCUCCACCCACCAUCACUCUCACAUCCCACCCAUCCACCAAGGAUGCACACAUAGAGAGCUAGACAGAAAACACACACACUAUACGAAGAGAUUCGAGAAUGCUACAGAAAAACUGUGAGAGAAAGAAGUAGAAAAAAACUGUGGAAAGGAAUGAAAUUCCUGAUCGCCAGUCACUAUUCCGGCGAUCUACUCGCCGGAAAAAAUCCAACCUCAACUCGCUGGAAUCCAGCCUAUUUCAGUCAGUUUCUUUCACUGUUAGCUCACCAAAGUCGAUUUGUCGAGGUUCUCAGUUCUCCAUCGAGAAUUGGGUUUGAGUUUCAUCGUUUUUGUUUGAAAUGGGUCGGUCAAUUUUGUUCAAGUUAGUUCAUGUUUUGGGUUAUUGAAGUCGGGAGUUUGUUGUUGGGGAAUUUUUGUUCAAGGUAUUCCGAUGCCGCUCCGUCAAACAGUUCAAUUGAAAUAAUACGUCAAAUUUGAGGUCCAUUUCCAAUCUUUUCUUUUUACUUAUUAUUUCCUUGUUCAUAAUAUUCGGUGUUAUGGUUUGGACGUUGUGUGUUGUUUGAGCUUUGUCGAUGGUGAAUAAUUGCUUGGUUUUUUAUUCAUUGAUUGAUUCCAUUGAUUAUGAAUUGCAUGAUGAAAUGGUAUUUCGCGUUUGAGAAUUAAAAUUGGUUGUUUGGGGAUGAGUGAAACAAGAAUUGACACUUGAUAAAAAUGUUAAUUUUUGUUGGUUUGAUUCAUGAGUUAUUGUUUGACUUGAAAUAAAUGUUAAUCAAACUUGAUAGUAUCAUAAUAUGUUGAAAUGGAUUGGCAAACGUAGGUUGGGUAGGAAAAGUUUAGAAUUUGUAAUUUUGUUGAAUGGUAUGGUUUUGUCAAAUUGAAAAGAUGUAUUUAUUUUGCCGAGGGAUGCCUCAGGACCUUUUGUGCUUAUUUAUCGGGGAAUGUCCCGACGUAUCAUGUACGCAAAAAGAAGGUUCGUGUUGAAGGCCCGAGGCACAGGGUAUAGCAUUGGAGCAGAGUUUAGGAUUAGUGUAGGUUUACUUUUUUUACUUCGGUUUGUAAUAAUUGGACAGAACAUUAUAUUUUGAAUUUGUUUUGUUUUAGGUGUUUGAUUGAUUGUUUUUAUGUGUUUUGUGUGGUUUAUACAUCCGUAGUGUUAAAUUAGCCGAUACAUUCUACCAAGAGAUCGUGUUAGAACCACGGGAUCGAGGGGUGCCUAACACCUUCCCCUCGGUCAACAGAAUUCAUUAGUCAGAAUCUCUGUUCGCAGAUCAGUUUUAGAGUCAAAACGUUUAAGGAUUUUUCAAAGGUCACUUGGUACACCGGAUUAUACCAAGUGGAAACUCUAAAUAAAAAAUGUAAAUAAUCCUUCUUCGAAAUAAAUUUUCAAUCAUUUUAUCAUUUUAAUCAUAAAAACACUUUAGAAACUUAAAUUUAAUCUUUUUUUCGAUUAAAAAAGGGGUGUGACAGCUCUAGCGACUCCUCUGGGGACUUUUUAGAAUUCGAGCUUAUUUUUGGAAUUGUAUCGGCUUAGUUUGACAUCAUGGGUAUAUAAACAUUAUUUGGGUUGUCAUUGUGUUAAUGUUUUUGAGUGCCUACGUGCUCCUUGUUUAUAGUGUUUCUCUUAUUUGUUACCGUUUUAUAUCAGGCAUCAUGUGCAUAACCCGAGUUAAUUCUUUCUGCAAUAAGUUCUGUAAUAUAUGCUAUGUACACGACCUAUAAUUGAGUCACCUUUAUUUCAGAAAGGGGAGCCGUUGGCUGGUAUGGAGUAGGUGGAAAGCAAAACAUCCACUAUCGACCAUACGCUCCCCCGAACAGCCUUGUUAGUGAACUCCAGUGUAGGUCAACAUUUAGGUCAUGCUUAUGUGCAUCAUAUUGAGACCUAACAGGGUCCACUUGGUCCUUUGUAGGAGACUCACCUCUAAAUCAUUCCUACGUGCUAAAUGUUGCAUCUUUAAGGGUAAUAAGGUCAUUUGACAGACUGAUUUAGGAAAAGCAUAUGUUAGAAGUAAAGUAUGUAGGCAAGAAAUUUUUGAAAAAAAAGAAGAAAAAAAGAGUGAAAAAAAGAGUGUUUUGUAGUUUUUUAGAGUUACUUUAUGGCUUUUAUUUUUUUUACAAUACAAAAAUUCAAAAAGAUUUUCUUAUCUUUUUCACGCAUUUAUUCAAAAACAAAAAAAUCCUCAAAAAUAUCUUCCUUUUAUCUCCUUUAGCAUGCAUUCAUAUUUCCAAAAAUUUCAAAAAUAUUUUUAGGAGAUUUUUAUAAAAGGAAAAUUCAAAAACAAGAUGGCAGAAGUUUUGUACAUUUCAUAUAACGAAAAUACCAAAAAGAUUUUCUCUUUCAUAGUUGUUGGUGUUAGUCUUAUGUGAAGUGUCAAACUAAAAACUCAAAAAGAUUUUAUUGUUUUUCAUCUUCUGUUUGUGGUUGCAUCUCUCAAGUCAGGGUUCAGUCGGUUAUUCAAUCCUUAAUUGUCCUAUCUAGACGAACUACGCACCCCUGAUUCUCCUCUUUCGGGAGUGAGAUACUUAGACAACCUAUUUUUGGUUUGGAGAUCUUAUUUGAAAAAUCCAAAAAGAUUUUCUUCUCUCUUUAUUUAGAGUAAGUGUUUCAUAUACAUCUUUAAAAGAAAACUGCAAAAAGAUGUUUCUUUAAUAGGUUCAAGUUUCAUUUUCAUAUGAAAUUCAAAAUUGAAAACCCAAAAAAAAAAUAAAAUUCUUUGGUAAUCAUAGAUUUCAUUUUGUAUAGGGAUUUUAAAGCUGAAAAAUUCAAAGAGAUUUUCGUCAAUUCUUUUGACAAAUUAUUAUUUUCUUUUCUUCUUAAAGUCUUAAGGAAUAGAAAAAGAGUUUAAUUUGGCCAUUUUUGCAAGACUUCACAAACUACGCACACCUAAAACUCCUCUCUGGGGUGAGAUAUGUAGGCGCCCUUCCUUGGUUCGGUGUCCUUUAAAAAAAAGAUUUUGAGAAAGUGUUGAACUCUAACGCAUUUGCUAUCGGUUGUUCAGUUAGUUUGAGGUGGUUGGUUUGUGGCAUUUUGGCUGGUCCUCCAUAUUGCACCAAGUCACAGAGAAAGUUAUGGACAACAAGGAUACCGAUUUUGUUGUCACUAAUCAGAUAAGGAGUUUAGGAAAUAAGAAUUUAGGAUCUAAUGAAGAGAUGCGGAAAUUAAGGCAACAACUGAUAGAAAUGCAUCGAGCUUGGGCUAAUGGGUUUUCGCCUCCCCCAGUUCCCAUUGAUAAUUUGGUAUAUCUUUAUAGCUUGCCGCCCAUGUCACCUGCCCAAUUUCCCAUUUUUAUUGAUAUGCCACAACAUGCACCAGGAUCAACUCCGGGGAAACAAUAUCCAACCACUUCCAAUGUUUAUUUCCUCAUUCCCCAAUCCAAGACUACCACAUACUCGACUCCACCUAUUUUUCAUGCUUUUGUGGUGCCACCCCUAACUGAAGCUUCUAUAUUUUAUGUUUAUCCAUAAUUUGUAUCUCCCUACUCUUCAAGAAAGUCUGUAUUGAAUAUUACUGGUGAUCAGCAUUACACUUUCGAGCCUACAUUUAAGUUGACUGGUCUUUACGGUGACACUCACCCGCCUGAAUUUCCUUCUAACACUGAGAAUCCUGUUAUGAUAGAAGAACAAGAGGAAAUGGCCAUAAAAUUGAGAAUUUUGGAACUGGCUAUGAAGAACUUGCUAGGACUUGGGGUUUACAAAAGUGUCUCAUAUAAAGACUUAUGCAUGUUUCCAGGUGUCAACCUUCCUUCCGGUUUUAAAAUGCCAAAGUUUGAGAAGUAUGAUGGACAUGGGGACCCAGUGGCUCAGUUGAGGUGCUAUUGUAACCUAUUAAAGGGCACUGGAGGGAAGGAAGAACUACUCAUGGCUUAUUUCGAGGAGAGUCUUUCAGGCCUAGCUUUGGAAUGAUUUGUUGACCAAGACAUUAACGAGUGGAUUAGUUGGGAUGACCUAGCUAAUGAAUUUGUGCAAUAAUUUCAAUACAAUGUGGAGUUGAUCCCUGAUGAAAAAUCCCUAACUAGUAUAAAAAAGAAGAACUCCGAAAGUUUCAGAGAAUAUGUGAUUAGAUAGCGUGAACAAGCGGCUAGGGUGAAACCACCAAUGAAAAAAAGUAAUGUAGUAGAGGUAUUUAUUCAAGAGCAAGACAAAAUAUACUAUCAACACUUGUUACCUACUUUAGGCAAGUUGUUCAUUGAGGGCCUUAAAAUGGGGGAGAUGACAGAAAAGGGAAUUAAGACUGGUUGCAUUGUGAGUUUUGCAACAUUGAAAGCGACUACUCAAGCAAUUCAAAAGGGUUCAGGAAGUGUUGGGUAGAAAAAGAAUGAGGAAGAUGCAUUUGCUAUCGUAGUUGGCCAGCAGAAAAGGUCAAGGAGAGACCACAUCGUCAUCUCUCUCAGGCUCAAACCCAAGUUCAUGCCCAAGCUCCACAUAAUCACUCCCCAAAUCCAUUAUACUCUGGUCCUCCACCUCCAUAUCCAGUAUAUAACGCACAGCUACAUGUUCAACCCCCAUCUUACCCAUAGUGGAACACACCAACUCCUCAGAGUCGUUCUAUAACUCCACAAACACACCAAAACCCUUCUAAGCCUGAUUUUCAAUUCAAGCCAAAUGAUGAAAUGAGGCAAAAGUCGAGAGAUAGAUUCAUACCAAUUGGAGUGUCAUAUGCCAUUUUAUUUCAGAGAUUGGUAAAGUAGGGCAUGAUCACUCCUCUCUUUAGGCAUACACUUAAUCAGUGUUCAAGAAAUUUUGAUCCUAGCGUACGAUGUGCAUAUCAUUGUGAUACUCAGGGUCAUAGUAUUGAAGAUUGUCGAGAUUUUAAAACAGAAAUUGAAAAGAUGAUUCAAGAUGGAUCAAUUAUGAUGCAGAACAUUGAAAGUGAAGAAAGCUCUAGUCAUGCUGAUAUGCAAACUAGUGGCUAAGUUGUCAGGCUGAGUAAUUGAGAAGCCACCUCUCUCCCUACUAGGAAGAGGUCAGGUAGUUUUUUCUAUUUUCUUUUCUGUUAUCCGAAUUAUUUUAGGGUUAUAGUUUGGGAUCUAUUUUGUUUGUCCCUUUGUCAUUAUGUUCAAACCCUUCUAUCUUUCAUUUUAAUAGAAUAGAGUGUCCCCUUUUUUCCUGUGUUUUUAAUAUGUGUUGUUUGUUUAUUUUCUUUACACAGUACAUUUUAUGUUAUUUUAGUGAUAUGACAUGCUGGCGAAAUUUUCAGCCAGAUCUUAAAAUCUAAAUUAACCAUGAAACAUUGAAUUAGAGGGCUAAAGGUCGGAAAAACAUCUGAGAAAAUAGGUAGAGUGCUGAGACAUUUGGUGACAAGUUGAAGCCUUCUUCGAAAAUUAAGGCAAUUAUUUUGAGAAUCAUAAGAAUAACUUGGUCAUCAAUUGAAAAACAUAGCUCAAUUAGGUCAAAUAACGGAUGUGUGCUCCCAAGGAACAGAACAAAAACCAACUCCAUGAAAGCAUGAGUCAUUCAAUGUGAGGGAUGUACAACAAAGGUAGAGUUGUUGUUUGACAAAUGUAGAGGAAGGGGUGGAACAUAUGCUCGGGGCAAGUUAGUGUUGUAAAAUGUAUCAUAAGUGAUAUUGAUAUGACGAAGACAUUUCAUUCUGAUAUUUAGAUAUUAUGUCAUCCUUUGUUUAACCCAUUUGAGCUUUAGUGUUAUUUUCUUUCAUACCCCUCUUUUGGAAUAAAGAUAGAGUCAGCAAAGCUCAAAAGAAAAGUAUCGAGUAAAAUAGUAGAGUUAGAAAAAAAAUAUGUCCAAAAAGAAAGUAAAAAAGAAGAGUGACGAGACAAAUAGAGUCAGAAAGUUUCAAAGAGAAAAAAAGUCAAUAAAAGAGAAAAGAAAACAAAAAUCAGAAUCAAGGAAAAGAACAAGUUGCCAGAACUACGCGUGACCUGAUUCUCCUCUCUCGGGGGUGAGAUACGUAGGCUGCCCUACUCUAGAAUCGGUCCAACCAAAUAAAUAAUUUAGAAUUGCCUAGUCAAAAAAAUCUGGGGCAUGAGUUAAUCCUCAUUGUUUGAGUCAAUUUCAAAAGUUGUAAGUCCUACCCCACUUCAAGUGUCGUUUUGGCCCCAUACCAUCAUUUCUUUCUAACCCUAUCCAAAAGCCAAGUUACAACCAAAGAAAGACCUUCAGAUUAAUCUUUGAGGAAGUUAAGGUUAAGCAUGUAAGGGAUAUGAUGAUGCAUUUGGGAACUACUUGUCUUCCUCAGUAUAAAAAAUCAGGAGAGAAAUAAAAAUGAUAGAGUCUUAUUGGUGAAAACCCUCACGGGUAUCGUAUGAUGAUGGUAAGUUGAGAAAGAUAAAAAUGAGAGAGUUUUAUCUGUGAAAACUCUCACGGGCACCAUAAGAUGACUGUGAGUUAAUUGAAAUGAAGAUAAGAGAGUCUUAUUAGUGGAAAACCCUUACAGACACCAUAAGACAAUGGUGACCUGAGGAAAAGCAAAUGAGAAAAUCUUGUUGGCAAAAACCCUUCAAGGCGCCACUAGCCGAUUGGGGUCUUAAAUGCAAUUGACCUAAGGAAGCAACUAAGUUUCAAGGCCAUUAACUCAACAACAAUGGGUAUGAAGUUUGGAUGAAAAGAUCAAGCUUCUUAAUCCAAAAUGCAUGGCAUAAUCAUUAGUGUUGACUGUCAUUUUUAGAUGAAUUUUUCAUUUCUUUGUUUCAAAAGAUGACAUUCAUUGUCUUUUCUUUCUUCUUUUUAUUUUUAUGUUGUCUUUUUUGAGUCAGUUAUCCAAAAAAAAAUCAUCAUUCUUUUUUUCGUUUCUUGUCUUUGAGUUAAGUCCGUGUCAAAACAAGUGAGAAAAGAUUUCAAAACUGGCUACCAGCUUCGUUAAUUUCACAAAGCAAGACAAAAGCUAGCACAUGAAAGAGACAUGAUAGUGAGCCUAAAAAGGGCAUGCAGAAAGUUUUUACAAUAGAAAAGUCAGGGAACUCAUGGAAAUACCAAGGUUCAAAGGGUCUAUCUGAGAAGCAUGGCAAAGUAGAGAUACUGUGUUUGUUUUAGUCAUUCUUAAUAAUCUGAGUUUGGGUCAAUGAUUUAGCAAGUCAAUGAUAUAUGCUAAUGGUUGGAAGCAAGGUUAAAUGUGACUAGGGAAAGGGCGAUCGCCGAAAAAACUAAAGCCACAAACCAGCCACCAUAUUUUAUACUCACAAGUUUUCUUUGAUGAAAUAAAAAACAUAUUACCUUCAAAGCAAGGACUUCAGAGCAUAAAUAUCAAGGGAUGCAAAGCCUCACUUAUACAAAUGUAGGAAGCAAAGUUUCUGCACAUGUUUGAUAAUCAAAUCAUGGUAAAAAAUCAUCAUCCUAUUUCCCUCGAAGACACACUUUCUUGUCCAGGAAUUUUAGUUUUCAUUUGCUAGGUGAUAUACUUCUUAAAUUGAACCUUGAUUCCUAAAAGACGUUCCUUUUAGUCGAGUUAUCCCCUUUGAUUCUUAUAAGGCAUAGCUUUUAGUCGAGUCAUUCCUUGACCCCUAUAAUACAUACCUUUUAGUCGACUCAUUCCCCUUGAUUCCUAUAAGACGUACCAUUUAAUCGAGUCAUCUCCCUUGAUUCCUAUAAGACAUACCUUUUAGUCGAUUCAUCCCCUUUGAUUUAUAUAAGACGUACCUUUUAGUCGAGUCAUUCCUUGACCUGUAGAAUACGUACCUUUUAGUCGAGUCAUCCUCCUUUGAUUCCUAUAAAAUGUACCUUUUAGUGGAGUCAUCCCCCUUUGAUUCCUAUAAGAUGAACCUUUUAGUUGAGUCAUUUCCCUUUGAUUCCUAUAAGACGUACCUUUUAGUCGAGUCUUCCUUGACACCUACAAGGCAUACCUUUUAGUUGAGUCAUUCCCUUUGAUUCCUAUAAGACGUACCUUUUAGUCGAGUCAUCCCCCUUGAUUCCUAUAAGACGUACCUUUUAGUCGAGUCAUUCCCCUUUGAUUCCUAUAAAAUGUGCCUUUUAGUCGAGUCAUCCCCCUUGAUUCCUAUAAGGCAUACCUUUUAGUCGAGUCAUUCCCCUUGAUUCCUAUAAGACGUACCUUUUAGUAGAGUCAUUCCCUUUGAUUUCUAUAAUGAUGUGACUUUCACAAAAGUCUUUUGAUUAUAAAUUAGGGAAAAAUUUGAUUCUUGUGUUUGGAACUUCACUUUCCUGGCAUAUGAAAUCUCUUUUUAAUAAUAUUGGUCUAGGAUAAUUUUCAUUUUAGUUUUGAUGUGAUUUCAGGAGCCCGCUAGAAGAACAGGACGAAUAAAAUGAAAGUGAAGAAACAAAGUGAAGAAAU
rnacentral:lncRNA from 1 species